CUGCUCAGGACGAACGGCGGGCGGCGUGCCCUAAUACAUGCAAGUCGAGCGAAUCAAAGGGGAGCUUGCUCCCUGAGAUUAGCGGCGGACGGGGUGAGUAACACGUGGGCAACCUGCCUAUAAGACUGGGAUAACUUCGGGAAACCGGAGCUAAUACCGGAUAAUGUUUUUUGACUCAUGUCGAGAAACUGAAAGAUGGCUUCGGCUAUCACUUAUAGAUGGGCCCGCGGCGCAUUAGCUAGUUGGUGAGGUAACGGCUCACCAAGGCGACGAUGCGUAGCCGACCUGAGAGGGUGAUCGGCCACACUGGGACUGAGACACGGCCCAGACUCCUACGGGAGGCAGCAGUAGGGAAUCUUCCGCAAUGGACGAAAGUCUGACGGAGCAACGCCGCGUGAGUGAUGAAGGUUUUCGGAUCGUAAAACUCUGUUGUUAGGGAAGAACAAGUACCGUUCGAAUAGGGCGGUACCUUGACGGUACCUAACCAGAAAGCCACGGCUAACUACGUGCCAGCAGCCGCGGUAAUACGUAGGUGGCAAGCGUUGUCCGGAAUUAUUGGGCGUAAAGCGCGCGCAGGCGGUCUUUUAAGUCUGAUGUGAAAGCCCCCGGCUCAACCGGGGAGGGUCAUUGGAAACUGGGAGACUUGAGUGCAGAAGAGAAGAGCGGAAUUCCACGUGUAGCGGUGAAAUGCGUAGAGAUGUGGAGGAACACCAGUGGCGAAGGCGGCUCUUUGGUCUGUAACUGACGCUGAGGCGCGAAAGCGUGGGGAGCAAACAGGAUUAGAUACCCUGGUAGUCCACGCCGUAAACGAUGAGUGCUAAGUGUUAGAGGGUUUCCGCCCUUUAGUGCUGCAGCAAACGCAUAAGCACUCCGCCUGGAGACCCGCCUC
rnacentral:rRNA from 2 species